UACGUAGGGUGCAAGCGUUAAUCGGAAUUACUGGGCGUAAAGCGUGCGCAGGCGGUUUUGUAAGUCUGAUGUGAAAUCCCCGGGCUCAACCUGGGAAUUGCGAUGGAGACUGCAAGGCUUGAAUCUGGCAGAGGGGGGUAGAAUUCCACGUGUAGCAGUGAAAUGCGUAGAGAUGUGGAGGAACACCGAUGGCGAAGGCAGCCCCCUGGGAUAACACUGACGCUCAUGCACGAAAGCGUGGGGAGCAAACAGG
rnacentral:rRNA from 1 species